CAGCAGGCACAGCAUUGCCAGGCAAGGGAGGGGAUUGUUCCACUCUGCUCUGCACUGGGGCAGCCUCACCUCAAUUCCUGGGGGCAGUUUUAGGCACUGAAAUGUA